rnacentral:rRNA from 1 species
AGCGGAGGAAAAGAAACCAACAGGGAUUGCCUUAGUAGCGGCGAGUGAAGCGGCAAAAGCUCAAAUUUGAAAUCUGGCGCCUUCGGUGUCCGAGUUGUAAUUUGAAGAUUGUAACCUUGGGGUUGGCUCUUGUCUAUGUUUCUUGGAACAGGACGUCACAGAGGGUGAGAAUCCCGUGCGAUGAGAUGCCCAAUUCUAUGUAAGGUGCUUUCGAAGAGUCGAGUUGUUUGGGAAUGCAGCUCUAAGUGGGUGGUAAAUUCCAUCUAAAGCUAAAUAUUGGCGAGAGACCGAUAGCGAACAAGUACAGUGAUGGAAAGAUGAAAAGAACUUUGAAAAGAGAGUGAAAAAGUACGUGAAAUUGUUGAAAGGGAAGGGUUUGAGAUCAGACUCGAUAUUUUGUGAGCCUUGCCUUCGUGGCGGGGUGACCCGCAGCUUAUCGGGCCAGCAUCGGUUUGGGCGGUAGGAUAAUGGCGUAGGAAUGUGACUUUACUUCGGUGAAGUGUUAUAGCCUGCGUUGAUGCUGCCUGCCUAGACCGAGGACUGCGAUUUUAUCAAGGAUGCUGGCAUAAUGAUCCCAAACCGCCCGUCU